rnacentral:rRNA from 1 species
AACGAACGCUGGCGGCAGGCCUAACACAUGCAAGUCGAGCGCCCCGCAAGGGGAGCGGCGGACGGGUGAGUAACGCGUGGGAACGUACCCUUUGCUACGGAAUAGCCUCGGGAAACUGGGAGUAAUACCGUAUGUGCCCUUCGGGGAAAGAUUUAUCGGCAAAGGAUCGGCCGCGUUGGAUUAGGUAGUUGGUGGGGUAAUGGCCUACCAAGCCGACGAUCCAUAGCUGGUUUGAGAGGAUGAUCAGCCACACUGGGACUGAGACACGGCCCAGACUCCUACGGGAGGCAGCAGUGGGGAAUCUUAGACAAUGGGCGCAAGCCUGAUCUAGCCAUGCCGCGUGAGCGAUGAAGGCCUUAGGGUUGUAAAGCUCUUUCAGUGGGGAAGAUAAUGACUGUACCCACAGAAGAAGCCCCGGCUAACUCCGUG